rnacentral:pre_miRNA from 1 species
CACUUCAAUAAGUGCCAUUCAUGUGUCUAGAAAUAUGUUUUGCACCUUUUGGAGUGAA